rnacentral:rRNA from 1 species
CACGUAGGGGGCGAGCGUUGUCCGGAUUCAUUGGGCGUAAAGAGCUUGUAGGCGGUCUGUCGCGUCUGCUGUGAAAAUCCGGGGCUCAACCCCGGACUUGCAGUGGGUACGGGCAGACUAGAGUGUGGUAGGGGAGACUGGAAUUCCUGGUGUAGCGGUGAAAUGCGCAGAUAUCAGGAGGAACACCGAUGGCGAAGGCAGGUCUCUGGGCCACUACUGACGCUGAGAAGCGAAAGCAUGGGGAGCGAACAGG